CAACCCUCAAGCACUGCUUGGUGUUGGGGCACUGCUCCUCUCGCGGGGAGCAGGCCCUGAAAUUCAGUGGCGAGCUCGCCAGGACCCCGAGCGCAGUAGUUAAACCCUCGCUCUGGAAGGCCCUGGCGGUGCCCUGCCGUUAAACCCCCAACUCUUGAAA
rnacentral:misc_RNA from 2 species